rnacentral:rRNA from 1 species
GACAAACGCUGGCGGCGUGCCUAACACAUGCAAGUUGAGCGACGAACCAGGGCUUGCCCUGGGGCAAAGCAGCGAACGGGUGAGUAACACGUGGGUAACCUACCCCGAUAACCGGGACAACCCGAGGAAACUCGGGCUAAUACCGGAUGUGCUCACUGGACUUCGGUUCAGUGCGUAAAGGAAGCUUCGGCCUCCGUAUCGGGAGGGGCCCGCGGCCCAUUAGUUUGUUGGUGAGGUAACGGCUCACCAAGACCGCGAUGGGUAGCUGGUCUGAGAGGACGAUCAGCCACACUGGGACUGAGACACGGCCCAGACUCCUACGGGAGGCAGCAGUGGGGAAUCUUGCGCAAUGCGCGAAAGCGUGACGCAGCAACGCCGCGUGGGGGAAGAAGGCCUUCGGGUUGUAAACCCCUUUCAGGAGGGACGAAGGUUCGGCGGUGAAUAGCCGUCCGGACUGACGGUACCUCCACAAGAAGCCCCGGCUAACUACGUG